GACGUAGGGCGCGAGCGUUGUCCGGAUUUAUUGGGCGUAAAGAGCUCGUAGGCGGCUUGUUGCGUCGACUGUGAAAACCCGCGGCUUAACUGCGGGCUUGCAGUUGAUACGGGCAGGCUAGAGUUCGGUAGGGGAGACUGGAAUUCCUGGUGUAGCGGUGAAAUGCGCAGAUAUCAGGAGGAACACCGGUGGCGAAGGCGGCGUUCUGGACUGUCUCUGACACUGAAGAACGAAAGCCAGGGGAGCAAACGGG
rnacentral:rRNA from 1 species